rnacentral:rRNA from 1 species
GACGAACGCUGGCGGCGUGCCUAAUACAUGCAAGUAGAACGCUGAAGGAGGAGCUUGCUUCUCCGGAUGAGUUGCGAACGGGUGAGUAACGCGUAGGUAACCUGCCUGGUAGCGGGGGAUAACUAUUGGAAACGAUAGCUAAUACCGCAUAACAGUAGAUAUUGCUGAUAUCUGCUUGAAAGGUGCAAUUGCAUCACUACCAGAUGGACCUGCGUUGUAUUAGCUAGUUGGUGAGGUAACGGCUCACCAAGGCGACGAUACAUAGCCGACCUGAGAGGGUGAUCGGCCACACUGGGACUGAGACACGGCCCAGACUCCUACGGGAGGCAGCAGUAGGGAAUCUUCGGCAAUGGACGGAAGUCUGACCGAGCAACGCCUCGUGAGUGAAGAAGGUUUUCGGAUCGUAAAGCUCUGUUGUAAGAGAAGAACGAGCUUGAGAGUGGACUGUUCACAC